AACCCCUCACUCCAGCUCUCACCCAAACUCCAAAUCAGAGAAAAAAAUCACACCAUUGAACCAUUUUCAUUGAAACCAGCCAUUAUCAAAACCAGAUUCAAUCUUGAUUUUGUCCAAGGGUUUUACUUGAUUUCUGCAAGAUCUUGAGAUGACUAUGGUGAGACUUAGUAGUGGA